CUCGGCGGAGGUCUGUGGAGGUGCUAGGACCGAUAAGGGAGGCCAUUUAGUCACGUACACCUCCGAUCGCCCUGCUCACUCACCCAAAAGUGGAGCCCGAAGGCUGAGGACAAACGGGCAGAAAUAGGACACAAAGACACCCUGUCUUAAAUUAUCAAACAGGGAUUGCAGACUCGUCAUGGCUGUGGAUCUGCUAAGCUUACCCAAAGAGCUCUGGGAAAGACUUAAUCUGGAUGCAAUAUGAUCACAAUGAUUCUGUGACUGAGAUGGUGAAAGUUCCAUCAAACACCUUGGAGAGCAGAGAGAGAAAUUACUGAAGUCGAUUCUGAAGAACUUCCCCAUGUCUCAAGGUCAAAUGGGUCUACCCCUGGGAGGCAAGGAAACAGUAUUCGAUAUACACAUUGGACCCUGAACAUAUAUCGAGCAGGCUCAGAAAGUAACAAGAUUGAUCAGUGACCACUAAGAACACUAUCAUUUACCUAGUGAAUUUGUGGGCCAAAGAAGUAACUUAAGAGUUUGUACUUUACACGGCAAUCCAAAGUUGGACAGCUGACCUUUGAAUUGUGUGAUUGGGGAACUGGAAAUAAUCAAAGCCCAGUAAUUGGCUAUGAUCUGUGCAUGCUGGAGCUGGAGGGAGCAAUGCAAGGACCAGCAGCAACUGCUUUUCAACUAAUUGCCUUGGUUCAUAAUUACUGAAUUCCCCACCAAGAAGGACCAUGAAGAAAACAUGGCUUUCAAAACAACCAGCAGCACCUCUGCAAGAACUGUAACAUCCAUUAGCUGGAGUCAUUGAAACACAGGAUGCUUUUCAUCGUGAUUUCUUUGAAUAAUCAGCACUCGAAAAAAUAAAGUUGUCCAAAUAAAUGGAGUAUCCUGUGAGCAAAAGAGCUCUUUUUCCACCCAAAAUCCAUUCCUGUUUUUCACUUUCCUCUUACAACAGCACUUCAGGUUUGAAUAGAUGCGUAGCUUUCUCACAAGAAACUCCCAAGUCUCAUCUCUCUUGAAACUUCUGACCAAAUUAUAGACAGUGGGAUGUGAAGAUGUGUGUGCCACUUCUGGGCUUGGCGUCUAAAGGAAAGGAGGUGCCCCUCUAUGGCUGGGAUACAGAUGGAAGCACAGGGAACAGAUCAGCUACUCUCAAUCCAUUCUACGUUUGCAUAUGUGGCUGAGCAAAGGCCUAGGGCAGCAUCCCACACCCCGGAUGGCUACCUUUUGACAGCUGCAACAGCAAGAACAAACUUCAUCACUGUUUGAUCCACUGUCCUUAGGGACUUUGGACUAUGGGCACUUGACUGCAGCCUGGCAAGUAUCACAUGUCAUUUCCUGUUUAGGGAUGAAUAACAAUCCAGUACCGAAAUGCAGAGACCUAUACCCAGACCAUUGCUAUAUGUAUAACAUAUAUAGUUAAUGGAUUCUCAUCCUUCCAGCUCUCAUCUAAGAGGACAAGAGGGAAAGAUGAGGGACACAAAUCUAGAAUUAUUCCUAGAUUCCUGUUGUGCAAUCAACUGAGCAGGCCCUACUGAAGAUGGCUGAUGAGUGAAAUCGGCGGCUGGCUCAGUAGCCUUAGUGUUUCCCUCUUGUAAGCUGGGAUGUGGACUUCCAGAAAUAAAAUUGAAUUUUGAGCUGGGGAGAUGCUUCAGUGGGUAAAGGUGCUUGCCCCAAAUCUCGUGAAUGUUUGAGCCUUGAGACCCACAUAGUUUAAGGAGAGAACUGAUUAGCAAAAGUUGGUUUCUGACCUCCACAAGUGCUUUGAUCUGUAUACAAACAUAUGGAUAUGUGCAUAAAUAAACAAAUAAAUACGUGUA
rnacentral:lncRNA from 1 species